AAUAGAUACCCUGGUAGUCCACGCCGUAAACGAUGAGUGCUAAGUGUUAGGGGGGUUCCACCCCUUAGUGCUGCAGCUAACGCAUUAAGCACUCCGCCUGGGGAGUACGGUCGCAAGACUGAAACUCAAAGGAAUUGACGGGGGCCCGCACAAGCGGUGGAGCAUGUGGUCUAAUUCGAAGCAACGCGAAGAACCUUACCAGGUCUUGACAUCCCGCUGACCGCUAUGGAGACAUAGCCUUCCCUUCGGGGACAGCGGUGACAGGUGGUGCAUGGUUGUCGUCAGCUCGUGUCGUGAGAUGUUGGGUUAAGUCCCGCAACGAGCGCAACCCUUGUCCUUAGUUGCCAUCAUUCAGUUGGGCACUCUAAGGAGACUGCCGUACAAAUACGGAGGAAGGUGGGGAUGACGUCAAAUCAUCAUGCCCCUUAUGACCCGGGCUACACACGUGCUACAAUGGACGGUACAAACGGUCGCGAAGUCGCGAGACGGAGCCAAUCCGAAAAAACCGUUCUCAGUUCGGAUUGCAGG
rnacentral:rRNA from 1 species